GCAUCCAUGGCUGUUUGGUAAAAGCACCCAACUCAUAAUUGGAUUGAUGUAGGUUCGAUUCCUUCUGGAUGCU
rnacentral:tRNA from 2 species